rnacentral:snRNA from 1 species
AUACCUUUCUCGGCCUUUUGGCUAAGAUCAAGUGUAGUAUCUGUUCUUAUCAGUUUAAUAUCUGAUAUGUGAAUCAUUGAUUCACACGAUAUUAAAUUAAUUUUUAUGGGAGGGGGCCAAUUGCAGUAGCUUGCUACUGAGGUCUUCAAUCAUUGUCUUUGCUUUGCACUACUGCAAAGACCGGUGCAUCCCAC